GCCGGCUUAGCUCAGGUGGUAGAGCAACUGAUUUGUAAUCAGUGGGUCGGGGGUUCGAAUCCUCCAGCCGGCA
rnacentral:tRNA from 1 species